AGUGAACGCUGGCGGUAGGCCUAACACAUGCAAGUCGAACGGCAGCACAGUAAGAGCUUGCUCUUACGGGUGGCGAGUGGCGGACGGGUGCGGAAUACAUCGGAAUCUACUUUUUCGUGGGGGAUAACGUAGGGAAACUUACGCUAAUACCGCAUACGACCUACGGAUGAAAGCAGGGGAUCUUCGGACCUUGCGCGAUUGAAUGAGCCGAUGUCGGAUUAGCUAGUUGGCGGGGUAAAGGCCCACCAAGGCGACGAUCCGUAGCUGGUCUGAGAGGAUGAUCGGCCACACUGGAACUGGGACACGGUCCAGACUCCUACGGGAGGCAGCAGUGGGGAAUAUUGGACAAUGGGCGCAAGCCUGAUCCAGCCAGACCGCGUGUGUGAAGAAGGCGUUCGGGUUGUAAAGCCCUUUUGUUGGGAAAGAAAAGCAGCAGGUUAAUACCCCGCUGUUCUGACGGUACCCAAAGAAUAAGCACCGGCUAACUUCGUG
rnacentral:rRNA from 1 species